AAGUUCCACACAAAACCAAAUGUAUAUAAAAGUAUAUCAAAAUAUUUCAAAAAUUCUUCAUCAUUCACUUCAAUCUAGAUCAAGUUGAGUUGUGGCGCCCACCAUUCAAAUUUGAUCCUCCACAUUGAUCCUACACAUUCAAAAUGAAAUAAACAAUUAGAAGUAAAAUUAUGCUCAACAACAACAACAACAACAUACCCAGUAAAUUCCUACCAAGUGGGGUUUGGGGAGGG
rnacentral:lncRNA from 1 species